rnacentral:rRNA from 1 species
GUGGCUGAGUCUUAAUGUCUUGAGUUUCAAACUAGUUUAGAGACCUGGACAACCGCAGCAUACAUUAAUUGG